rnacentral:rRNA from 1 species
UACGUAGGGUGCGAGCGUUAAUCGGAAUUACUGGGCGUAAAGCGUGCGCAGGCGGUUUUGUAAGCCAGGUGUGAAAUCCCCGGGCUCAACCUGGGAAUGGCAUUUGGGACUGCAAGGCUGGAGUGCGGCAGAGGAGACUGGAAUUCCUGGUGUAGCAGUGAAAUGCGUAGAUAUCAGGAGGAAUACCGAUGGCGAAGGCAGGUCUCUGGGCUGACACUGACGCUCAUGCACGAAGCGUGGGGAGCA